rnacentral:rRNA from 1 species
UACGAAGGGGGCUAGCGUUGUUCGGAAUUACUGGGCGUAAAGCGCACGUCGGCGGAUCGAUCAGUCGGGGGUGAAAUCCCAGGGCUCAACCCUGGAACUGCCUUUGAUACUGUCGAUCUGGAGUAUGGAAGAGGUGAGUGGAAUUCCGAGUGUAGAGGUGAAAUUCGUAGAUAUUCGGAGGAACACCAGUGGCGAAGGCGGCUCACUGGUCCAUUACUGACGCUGAGGUGCGAAAGCGUGGGGAGCAAACAGG